GUCGAACGGAAAGGCCCCUUCGGGGGUACUCGAGUGGCGAACGGGUGAGUAACACGUGGGCAAUCUGCCCUGCACUUCGGGAUAAGCCUGGGAAACUGGGUCUAAUACCGGAUAGGACCUUUAGGCGCAUGUCUUUAGGUGGAAAGCUUUUGCGGUGUGGGAUGGGCCCGCGGCCUAUCAGCUUGUUGGUGGGGUGAUGGCCUACCAAGGCGACGACGGGUAGCCGGCCUGAGAGGGUGUCCGGCCACACUGGGACUGAGAUACGGCCCAGACUCCUACGGGAGGCAGCAGUGGGGAAUAUUGCACAAUGGGCGCAAGCCUGAUGCAGCGACGCCGCGUGGGGGAUGACGGCCUUCGGGUUGUAAACCUCUUUCACCAUCGACGAAGGUUCGGGUUUUCUCGGAUUGACGGUAGGUGGAGAAGAAGCACCGGCCAACUACGUGCCAGCAGCCGCGGUAAUACGUAGGGUGCGAGCGUUGUCCGGAAUUACUGGGCGUAAAGAGCUCGUAGGUGGUUUGUCGCGUUGUUCGUGAAAUCUCACGGCUUAACUGUGAGCGUGCGGGCGAUACGGGCAGACUAGAGUACUGCAGGGGAGACUGGAAUUCCUGGUGUAGCGGUGGAAUGCGCAGAUAUCAGGAGGAACACCGGUGGCGAAGGCGGGUCUCUGGGCAGUAACUGACGCUGAGGAGCGAAAGCGUGGGGAGCGAACAGGAUUAGAUACCCUGGUAGUCCACGCCGUAAACGGUGGGUACUAGGUGUGGGUUUCCUUCCUUGGGAUCCGUGCCGUAGCUAACGCAUUAAGUACCCCGCCUGGGGAGUACGGCCGCAAGGCUAAAACUCAAAGGAAUUGACGGGGGCCCGCACAAGCGGCGGAGCAUGUGGAUUAAUUCGAUGCAACGCGAAGAACCUUACCUGGGUUUGACAUGCACAGGACGCGUCUAGAGAUAGGCGUUCCCUUGUGGCCUGUGUGCAGGUGGUGCAUGGCUGUCGUCAGCUCGUGUCGUGAGAUGUUGGGUUAAGUCCCGCAACGAGCGCAACCCUUGUCUCAUGUUGCCAGCGGGUAAUGCCGGGGACUCGUGAGAGACUGCCGGGGUCAACUCGGAGGAAGGUGGGGAUGACGUCAAGUCAUCAUGCCCCUUAUGUCCAGGGCUUCACACAUGCUACAAUGGCCGGUACAAAGGGCUGCGAUGCCGCAAGGUUAAGCGAAUCCUUUUAAAGCCGGUCUCAGUUCGGAUUGGGGUCUGCAACUCGACCCCAUGAAGUCGGAGUCGCUAGUAAUCGCAGAUCAGCAACGCUGCGGUGAAUACGUUCCCGGGCCUUGUACACACCGCCCGUCACGUCAUGAAAGUCGGUAACACCCGAAGCCAGUGGCCUAACCC
rnacentral:rRNA from 1 species